rnacentral:lncRNA from 1 species
AUUAGUAGUCAAAGCCAUUAUUUUAUUAGAAGAUGCAGGAUUACAAGUAAUGAUACUGACUUGUGAUGAUGCUUCAAUUAAUAAAACAAUGAUCAAACAUUUAGGAAUUAGUAGUAAAUGUUUAGAUUUAAAAAAUAAUUUUAUAAACCCAUAUUAUGACAAAAGAAAUGUGAAAUAAAAAUAAAUAUUUUAAUUUGUAGAACAUAUUACUAUAACAUGUUUAGAUAAUGAUUAUGCACCAUUAUAACAAUAAGUGACUUAAAGAAUGCCAUUAAUGAAAAAGAUGAGUCAUUUGUCCGAGAACAAAAUAUAUUAAACUUAAAAACAUAUAUUGAUGACAUAAUUGAAGAAUGAAAGUGGGAUAUGGAUAUGUUUAAAGACUCAGAUUUUAAAGAUGAUGCAACGUUUAACUGUGUUUAUAUUAUUUGGCUAGGUAAAUACAAUAUUUUAGAGGAUAUGCACAUACAACUUACUUACUGUAAAUUUUACUUUUACAUUUUAAACUUGCAUAAGUGAAUAUAUAUUCAUUUUUUUAUUAUUUUCAAGAUAUUUGGCAACAAAACUAAUAAAAAAAACUAAAUGUGAAGUUUGUCUGUCUGGGAUAAGAAACACUGAAGGAAAAAUCUGCGAUUUCAAUGCUGCCUAAUUAGUUCAACUUAAAUCUCAAGGAUAUCUAACCCAUCCAGACAGUAGUUUUUUCAUUUUAGUAAGAUGUAUUGAAAAAUCAUUUCAAAUUCAUGCCACAAGUCUAAAUGCUUUUGAUGACACAGUUGAACAUUUCUUCGAAAACAACUAUAUCAUACCAUUUCCAUUUAAUGAGCAUAAAAGUGAUAUAGUCGAGUACGUUUUUAUGUCUUAUUUGACUAUGCAAAUGAGGCAGUACACCUAGAUGAACAAAAAACAAC